rnacentral:rRNA from 1 species
UACGUAGGGACCAAGCGUUGUUCGGAUUUACUGGGCGUAAAGGGCGCGUAGGCGGCUUAACAAGUCACUUGUGAAAUCUCCGGGCUUAACUCGGAACGGCCAAGUGAAACUGUCAAGCUAGAGUGCAGAAGGGGCAAUCGGAAUUCAUGGUGUAGCGGUGAAAUGCGUAGAUAUCAAGAGGAACACCUGAGGUGAAGACGGGUUGCUGGGCUGACACUGACGCUGAGGCGCGAAAGCCAGGGGAGCAAACGGG